rnacentral:rRNA from 1 species
GAGUUUGAUCCUGGCUCAGGAUGAACGCCGGCGGUGUGCCUAAUACAUGCAAGUCGAACGCGUUGGCCCAACUGAUUGAACGUGCUUGCACGGACUUGACGUUGGUUUACCAGCGAGUGGCGGACGGGUGAGUAACACGUAGGUAACCUGCCCCAAAGCGGGGGAUAACAUUUGGUAACAGAUGCUAAUACCGCAUAACAAUUUGAAUCGCAUGAUUCAAAUUUAAAAGAUGGUUUCGGCUAUCACUUUGGGAUGGACCUGCGGCGCAUUAGCUUGUUGGUAGGGUAACGGCCUACCAAGGCUGUGAUGCGUAGCCGAGUUGAGAGACUGAUCGGCCACAAUGGAACUGAGACACGGUCCAUACUCCUACGGGAGGCAGCAGUAGGGAAUCUUCCACAAUGGGCGCAAGCCUGAUGGAGCAACACCGCGUGAGUGAAGAAGGGUUUCGGCUCGUAAAGCUCUGUUGUUAGAGAAGAACGUGCGUGAGAGCAACUGUUCACGCAGUGACGGUAUCUAACCAGAAAGUCACGGCUAACUACGUGCCAGCAGCCGCGGUAAUACGUAGGUGGCAAGCGUUAUCCGGAUUUAUUGGGCGUAAAGCGAGCCCAGGCGGUUUGAUAAGUCUGAUGUGAAAGCCUUUGGCUUAACCAAAGAAGUGCAUCGGAAACUGUCAGACUUGAGUGCAGAAGAGGACAGUGGAACUCCAUGUGUAGCGGUGAAAUGCGUAGA